GUCAGGUUGGCCGAGUGGUUAAGGCGCUAGAUUUAAGAUCUUGUGCGAGUGUGGGUUCGAAUACCACAUCUGACA